rnacentral:rRNA from 1 species
GACGAACGCUGGCGGCGUGCUUAACACAUGCAAGUCGAACGGAAAGGCCCUGCUUUUGUGGGGUGCUCGAGUGGCGAACGGGUGAGUAACACGUGAGUAGCCUGCCCUUGACUUUGGGAUAACUUCAGGAAACUGGGGCUAAUACCGGAUAGGAGCUCCUGCUGCAUGGUGGGGGUUGGAAAGUUUCGGCGGUUGGGGAUGGACUCGCGGCUUAUCAGCUUGUUGGUGGGGUAGUGGCUUACCAAGGCUUUGACGGGUAGCCGGCCUGAGAGGGUGACCGGCCACAUUGGGACUGAGAUACGGCCCAGACUCCUACGGGAGGCAGCAGUGGGGAAUAUUGCACAAUGGGCGGAAGCCUGAUGCAGCAACGCCGCGUGCGGGAUGACGGCCUUCGGGUUGUAAACCGCUUUCGCCUGUGACGAAGCGUGAGUGACGGUAAUGGGUAAAGAAGCACCGGCGAACUACGU